AUUUUUAAUAGUAAAAAACAUACAAUUUACCAUUUUAACCAUUUAAGUAUACAAUUCAGUAAUACUAAGGAUAUUCACAUUGUUGUCUAGCCAAUCUCCAGAACUUUUUUAUCUUGCAAAACGAAAAGUAUACCCAUUAAAACAUUGUUGCCCCAUUUCUCCUCCACAGCUUCUGUUAAUCUGCAUUCUACUUUCUGUUUCUCUCAGUUUGACUACUUUAAUUACCUCAUAUAAGUGGAAUCAAACAAUGUUUCUCUUUUGUAAUUGGCUUAUUUUAUUUAGUAUAAUAUCCUCAAGGUUUAUUUUUGUUGUAGCUUAUGACAAGAUUUCCUUCACCAGAAGGCUGAAUAAUAUCCCAUUGCAUCUAUCAAUUCCAUUCAUUCAUCAGUUGACACUUGGAGUUGCUUCGAUCUCUUGGCUAUUGUGAAUAGUGCUGCUUUGAAAAUGCACUAUAGGCCAAGUACAGUGGCUCAUGCCUGUAAUCCCAGUAUUUUGGGAGGCUGAGGUGGGCAGAUCACAAGGUUAGGAGAUCGAGACCAUCCUGGCCAACAUGGUGAAACCUGUCUCUACUAAAAAUACAAAAAAUUAGCCGAGCAUGGUGGUGAGUGUCUGUAGUCCCAGCUACUUGGGAGGCUGAGGUAGGAGAAUGGCUUGAACCCAAGAAGUGGAGGUUGCGGUGAGCUGAAAUCAUGCCACUGCAUUCCACCCUAGGCGACAGAGUGAGACUCUGUCUCAAAAAAAAAAAAAAAAAAAAAGAAAGAAGAAAAAAUGCACUACAGACAUACAGUUCUGAGUUCCUGCUUUCAGAUCUUUUGUUCAGCAUAGUAUUGGAAGUCUUAGCUAGAUCAGUUACUAAGAAAAAUAAGUAAAAGCCAUUCAAAUUCGAAAGCGGUAAGUACAACUAUCUCUUUGCAGAUGACAUGAUCUCAUAUGUAGGAAACGAUAAAGAUUCCAAAAAACAGCAGAACUGCAGCAAUUUGUAUUUGCAGCAGAAUUACAGCAAAUUGUAUUUGCUGAAUACAGCACGGUUGCAGGAUACAAAAUAAAUACACAAAAAUCAGUUGCAGCUAGGCAGAUUACUUGAGUCCAAGUGUUUGAGACCAGCCUGGCCAACAUAGAGAAGCCCCAUUUCUACUAAAAAUAGAAAAAUUAGCUGGACAUAGUGACAUGUACCUGUAGUCCCAGCUACUUAGGCAGCUGAGGUGGGAGGAUCACCUGAGCCUGGAGAGUUGAGGCUGCAGUGAGCCAUGAAUGUGAAGCAGGAUCGCUGAGGUUCAUUGUCCCACACUAAGGAAAGUGAAGACGUGGUUGCACAAGGUGUGCGUUUAAGAGUGGAAAGUUUAAUAGGCGAGAGAAACAGGAAGAAAGCUCCCCUGUGUAGAGGGAGGGGUUUCUAAACGUCUCCCUGUUCACAGUGUGAUGCAUUUGAUUUUAUAGAGGGGCUUCAGGAGGUGGUGACUAAUUUACAUAGGGCCUAGUGGAUUGGUUGGACCAGGUGUGCCACUUAGCCUGCAAAGAGGCUGGCCAUCUCACCCUAAUCUUUUAUCAUGCAGAUGGGGUCUCUACCUGGCUGGUGCCAUGACACUCACACCCAUGGCAACAAAGAGAAGGGCGAAGAAGACCUCCAUGUUUGAUAUACUUGUCUUCUGGCACACCUGCUGACAUUCACCUAUGCAAGCUUACAGCUGGCUUAUGUAUGCUUGCAGAUUGAUUUUUCAGGCUGCUUUUUGUUAGAAAAUAAAGGAUUUUGGGGUUGCUUUUUAUUAAAAGAAAAACUUUACUGAGUACAUCUGUACCCUCACUAACUGUCUAAAUAAUUUCUUUUUAAAUCUUAUAUCAGUUGUGCCACUGCACUCAAGGCUGGUCAGCAGAGUGAGAGCCUGUCUUAAGAAAAAGAAAAAAAUGUAAAAAAAAAAUCUCAGAAACAUAGAAAUUACCACACUUUUUCCAUAGUGGGUGCAUUAUUUUAUCAGCCUAUAAACGGUGUACAAGGGUUCCAGUUUUUUACAUUCUUGCUGAUGCUUAUCAUUUUCUAUUUUUUUUUAUGGUGGCCACGUUAAUGGGUGUAAUGUGAUAUCUUAUGGUUUUGAUUUGUAUUUCCCUUAGGAGUAUGACUUUUAAAACUUUUCUUAGGUAAUUUAGUUUUUAUUCCUAUUUGUUGUAUUUGGUUCUUUUAAGUGUGCCUGACCUUUUUUUCAUUUGAGAUUUUGUUUCUUGUUCAUUUGUUUCUUACAACAUAUUAAACAUAUAUAUUUUGUAUUCUAUUUAUGAUAAUUAUGACAUCUAUAGUCUGUGGGUCUGAUUAUGCUGCCCAUUGUUUCUGUUGACUUCCAUUCAUGGUACUUUAUUUCCUUGUUUACGUUAUGACUUUUAUUUUUUUUUUCAGAAUGUGAAUUCAUCUUUGGAACUGUAAUCGGUGGGGUUCUUCAAUGUUUUUGUUGGGGAUGUAUUCCUCCAGAGAGGUUUUAUCUGUUUUCACUAUUCCUGGGGCAACACUGUUAAUGAAGAGCACUUUGGGUUAAAAUUUUUAUUUGUGGUUAUUGACCCCAUUAGGCAGUAUCAAUUGACCUCAUAAACCUUCAUAGUUACAAAUUCUUAGGAGAUACUCCCUCCCCGACUUUUAUCCAGUGGUAUGAUUAAUUCAGGCAUGUUUAUUUUCUGGCCUCUUCUUCAGAGUUGGGUUACUUUUGAUGCAUGCUUACCUUUCUGGUGCAGCCCUUGAGUAGGCCCUUUGUGCAGGCCUAUUUUUCUAGCCCUUUGUACCGGCCUGACUUCAGUUUUCUCUAGUUUUUGUACUCCAUGUAGUUGAGAAUAGGAGGCUUAAUGUCACCACAAUUUAUGAGAACUCCUCAGGGUGAAAGCUAGCUGAAGACUCCCUUGCUCCUUAGGGCUCCUUGAUUGAUUUUGCUUUUUGACCCAGUGAGAUUCCAUAUUUUCUUAUCAGGUCAGUGCAGCAUUUUAAAUUUUAUCUAGCUCUUUAAGUUUUCAUCAGGAGAGUUUUUUGGCAUCUGUGGUCUGCCAUACUGCUGGAAAUGGAAUUUAGGCAUCUCAUUUGAUGGGUGUCUUUUCUACUUCCCCUUACUCCUGCCACCUUGAGGCAGGAGCGAGUGUCCCAAAGGAGUGGAGGUCACUGAUUGCGGGAGCUACAUGUUCUCUUGUCUUCUGUGUCUACAGAACCCAGACCAGGAUCGAUUUCACAGGACGUGCCAGCCACUGUUACUGCCUGACCACAGAAGCUUGAGAGUGAACCUACAGAGACUAGAAAUUGGGUAGUUGGAGAGAGGAAGGUAGAAUAACAUCAGGGAGGGAAAAAUAUUUGUCAUCCUUUCUGGAGGGCUAAGGGGGUAUAGGAGGAGUGUUUGAGCAAGAUUGAUUGUAUGUAUGCAUGCAUAAGUCUCAGAAUUGGCUGCAAAGGGGCAGAUGGAAUCAGAAUUUGCUGAGUGUGGUUUGUUUUUAUGGGUUCAUAGGUAGACGAUGCAGUGAACUUCCUGGCAGGCUGACAGGGUAGAAGUUCAUUGGAGAGAUUGGGCUUAAAGCCUGCCUGAGAGAGCAUGGGGAGUCUGUGGAUUAGUCCCUUGGUGAGGGCUCUGGCCACACAACAUUGAAGUUGUAUUUUAAGAUUACCAGGACAACCAGUUGGUGAUGGGGUCAUUUGGGCCAUGGUGUGUGUGUAGGGUACUAAACCACUCCUGAUACUCUUUUUCAUGGCCACAUAGCAUUUUCACUUUAUCACUGUUUAUGUGCCUUGUGAUUUGGGAGCUGUUGGUUUGCCCCUGAGAGCAGCUCACUGAGCAUCCAUUCACCUCCUCCCGGUGAAUGGAGGAGAAGAGACUAGAGGCAUUAGUGUUCCACUGCUCUGUCCCUGUUAUGGGAGGAAAUGGAUUUGAGGAGCUACUUUACUGAGUAUUUUUGCACUCAAGGCCCUGGACUCUGUAGUUGAGUCGUAAGGAUAGGGGCAAUUGGCCCUUUGGUGAUACAUGCCUGGAACAGGUUCAGCUAGGGGAUGGCAGAGGGGACAGAUCCCCUGGUAUGUCUAAUAUAUUGGAGAAGAUUAGGAAGCAGAACUGGGGAAGAUUAGGAAGAUGAUGCUGAGGGUUUUAUUUUAGGCUUCAAGAAAGGCUUUUGGAUUCUCAUAGAAAAAAAAAAAUCACCUCUCAAGGCCUCUCCUGAGGGCAGUUGCCCAGCUCUUGUGUUUACUGGACUCUGUAAGCAAGCACUGUGUGUAUAUACGCUGGAGAUCAGACCCAGCUACUAUGUAAGUGUUGGGUAUACCAUUGUGAUCAGACUCAGCCUCCCAGCAAGUGUGCUUUGGGUAUACAGUGGAGCUCAGACCCAGACUAGAACAGAUAGUAUUCAUGCAAUGGUCUCACAAACAGCACGGAAGGACAGCGGCCUAUGAAGGGCAUGCUGUGAGUAGCUGACAGAGGCGGUCUUGGCUCAGUCGUCGGGAAUUGGUCAGAAACGGUGUGACUGAGCUGACUUCAGGGCCAGGUGGAGCCUCAUUUGGUCGGCAGUGACGGAGGAAUUAAAAUGAAUUUUAGGCAAGUAAGGCCACAUUUGCUUGAAUAGUGUUUAUACUUGUUCUUUGUACUUGGGCAUUUUAAUAGAAGGGUUACAUAUGCCUAUGUCAAGACACCAUGAAUGCUAUAGCUAGAGAUACAAAAGGACCUGAGUGUGUUGCAUUGAUGAUGACUUGUAUCACAAACACUGAUACUAUUGGUGAUAUAAUUUUUCAAAAUGGUGAACAAGUGUUGGUAAAGUUCUGAUAAAAAGAUUUUCAUUUUCUCUACUAUUAGUGUGUUUACUAUACUAUAUUAAAAUUGUGCAAAAGAUGUUUUAUGUUUAUAUGAAUCUGAGUUUGGUUCUAAGCCCAAGUUAAAUCAUUGCCCAUAGGUUUUGGCAGGACGGAUGGAAGUCCCUGUGAGGGUAUGAGACAGGUGUCGUUUGCGGGACUGACCCGCACAUUGUGGGACUGCUGUAACCCUUUUCACCUCUUCUCCCAUUGUGACAACCAACCUUCUCCCUCAACAAAUUUUAAAGCACCUUCUGGGUGCUCUACUUCCUCCUUCCACUAACUGCUGCUGUUCUGGGUGUAGCAGGGAGACAAGGAUAUGACCCCAGGUGGGAGAGCUAUUGGAGAUGUGCAGAGAACGGUUGUCGGUCUGUUAUUGCUUUUGUAAAAGUGGCCCAUAGUGAGUUGUCUAGACAAAUCACAAUGCAUACGAAGUUUAAUAUCUUAAAAUGAGAAAUUAACUGGCCAGGUGGUUUGCCAGCAGUCAUCACCAUUUUGAAAAUAUUGGCAUGGAGUCCCUAUGGUGCUGAGAUAUUUUCGUCGCCUGAAUCCUUGUGGAAACUCCCAUCAUCACUGUGUGCAUGUGCAAAUCCCCCUACUCCUAUAAUUAAUUUCUGUGAGCUCUGCGGAUAAACAGGGAUGCCUCCUGGCUUCUGUUUGCAUUUCCCUUAGCAGUACUGCAUUCUGUCAGCUUAUUGACAGGGCCAAGGUGACUGGUUUUCCAUUAAUCAAAAUUACUAAAGUGUGACUGGAAAACGAAGUAGAUGCCCUUGGAGACUAACACCUUCUAAGUCUGUUGUGAUUUUGUUCUGCAUUGCUGGGCAAGUCACUUUUUCCAUGCCUUAGCUUCCUCAGUGGUUAAGUGGGGGUUACUACAACCUCAAGAAGUUGUGAAGGGAAUUAAAUGCAUUGCCAUCAGUAAAAAUGUUUAGCACAUUUGCCAUAAUUGAUGCAGAUUUUUAAAAAUAUGGAACACUUAUGAAUUUGUGUGUCAUCCUUGUCGACCGGCCAUGCUAAUCUUCUCAGUAUUGGUCCAGUUUUAGUGUAUGUGCUGCCAAAGUGAGCACUCAGAUUUGUUUAAAAAGAACUAACAGAUCUGGUUGGCCUUCCACUCCCACCCACCACCCCAUCUCAUCUCCCACUUUCCCACUCCAGUUUCCCUCCCUCCCCUGUGGUUACCCCUUCUGUGAAGAGCUGGCGUGUAGCCUUCCAGUUCCAGUUUUAUACUCCUGCACUGCACAUAGUAUCUAUCAACAACACAAGAGAAUUGCUUUGUGGAUUCUUAGACUUUGUGAAUAAAGACAGCUGCAUCUUCCCAGUUCAUCAUGGCUUCAACAUCCAGAGAUGUCAUUACUGGGAGAGGUACCCACUCAAAGGUGAAGUCUGCAAAGCUACUUGAGGUUCUGAAUGCUAUGGAGGAGGAAGAGUUCAGCAACAACAGGGAAGAGAUUUUCAUUGCACCUCCUGACAAUGCUUCAGGGGAAUUUACUGAUGAGGACUCAGGUGAUGAAGACAGCCAGCGAGGUGCUCACCUUCCUGGCAGUGUGCUGCAUGCUUCAGUCCUGUGUGAGGACUCUGCCACCGGGGAGGAUAAUGAUGACCUGGAGCUGCAGCCGGCCAAGAAGAGGCAGAAAGCAGUUGUGAAGCCUCAGCGUGUUUGGACCAAAAGAGAUAUUCGUCCAGACUUUGGAAGUUGGAUGGCAUCAGAUCCUCAUAUUGAGGAUCUGAAAAGCCAAGAACUGAGUCCUGUGGGCCUUUUUGAGUUGUUUUUUGAUGAAGGAACAAUUAAUUUCAUUGUUAAUGAAACCAAUCGUUACGCUUGGCAGAAAAAUGUCAAUCUGAGUCUUACAACUCAGGAAUUGAAGUGUGUUUUGGGCAUUUUGAUUUUAAGUGGGUACAUCUCUUAUCCAAGGAGAAGGAUGUUCUGGGAAACCUCUCCUGAUUCACAUCAUCAUCUUGUAGCUGAUGCAAUUAGAAGGGACAGAUUUGAACUAAUCUUCUCAUACCUACAUUUUGCAGAUAACAACGAACUUGAUGCAAAUGAUAGGUUUGCCAAGGUCAGACCUCUCAUCAUCCGGAUGAACUGCAAUUUCCAGAAGCAUGCACCCUUGGAAGAGUUCUACAGCUUUGGGGAGUCUAUGUGUGAGUACUUUGGGCACCGGGGGUCCAAGCAGCUGCACACAGGGAAGCCUUUGCGAUUUGGGUACAAGAUUUGGUGUGGGACAACCAGCAGAGGCUACUUGGUUUGGUUUGAGCCCUCACAGGGCACACUUUUUACAAGGCCAGACAGGAGCUUGGAUUUAGGAGGCAGUAUGGUAAUAAAAUUUGUGGAAGCACUUCAGGAGCGUGGUUUUCUGCCAUAUCACAUAUUUUUUGACAAGGUUUUUACAAGUGUUAAACUGAUGUCCAUUUUGAGGAAAAAGGGGGUGAAGGCCACAGGAACUGUUCGUGAGUACAGGACUGAGCGAUGUCCCCUAAAAGACCCCAAAGAACUAAAAAAAAUGAAGAGGGGUUCAUUUGAUUACAAAGUUGAUGAGAGUGAGGAGAUCAUCGUGUGCCGCUGGCACGAUAGCAGCGUGGUCAACAUUUGCUCCAAUGCUGUGGGUAUAGAGCCAGUGAGGAUGACUAGUCGUCACUCUGGAGCAGCUAAAACGCGGACUCAGGUCCACCAACCAUCGCUAGUGAAGCUGUAUCAGGAGAAGGUGGGGGGUGUUGGUCGGAUGGACCAGAAUAUUGCCAAGUACAAGGUGAAGAUCCGAGGCAUGAAGUGGUACUCAAGCUUCAUUGGCUAUGUCAUUGAUGCGGCCCUCAACAAUGCAUGGCAGCUACAUAGGAUCUGCUCCCAAGAUGCCCAGGUGGACCUCCUUGCCUUCCGGAGAUAUAUUGCCUGUGUGUAUCUGGAGAGCAAUGCUGACACGACCUCUCAAGGGAGGCGAAGCAGGCGGCUCGAGACUGAGAGCCGCUUUGAUAUGAUUGGGCAUUGGAUUAUCCACCAGGACAAGAGGACCCGAUGUGCCCUCUGCCACUCACAGACCAAUACCCGGUGUGAGAAGUGCCAGAAGGGUGUCCAUGCCAAGUGCUUCAGGGAGUACCACAUCCGGUGACAUCGUGAGACAUGCUUGUUUGGUUUAUAAUGAGAUGUUUAUGGCCCAUUACAGAUUGCAAUUCACACUGAAAUUGGGAGGAAAAUGCAGAUUUCCUGUGGAGACCCAACCUAGUUUCCCCACGUAUUAACAUAUCAACAUGUAUCAGGUAUUUCAGGACAGCCACGCGCGAGUGCAUGUCCGUGGAGAAACUGAGCAAGAGUGUCCUUGCUGAUUUGUGGCGUCACCAGAGGGCGCACGAACCCACCCUUGACCAACUUCCCUCUGAGGUACCAGAAGUAGCUAGGAGCUUCGACUUCCUCAGGGAAGCACGAGGGUCGUGUUAACUAAAUGUUGUUCAUUGAUCUCUACGAGCAUAAGUUUAUCAACUCUCGGUUUAUCAACUCCACCUUUCUGGAGCAGAAGGAGAGCUGCCACAUGGACUUGGAGCAAGAUAAUGACUUCCUGAUUUACCUCAUCAGCUUCCCAGGAGGGUUGUCUGUCUUACCCGGGAACAUCAUUUCUGCCCUGCUCAUGGAUAGGAUUGGAAGACUCAGGAUGAUCGGGUAACAGCCUUUGGCAUUCUCAAUGGAUUACGCAAAUUUGGCACCGUCUUGGGAAACACCAUCUUUGCUUCCUUUGUUGGGAUAACUAAAGUGGUCCCCAUCAUUCUGGCUGAUGCUUCUCUGGUUGGGGGUGGCCUGAUUGCCCUUCGACUGCCAGACACUUGAGAACAGGUCCUGAGGUGAACAACCUAUGGGAAAAGGAAAGGUGGAAAGAAUCUGGUCCAGGACACUAAAAUGCAUCCACACCUCCUGCCUGUCACUGUCCAGAGGACACCUUGGAUAGCACAGGAGAAGAAGUUGACUUUGUGACCCCUAGUUUAGGAUACACUUCAGCUGUCAAUUUGUUUGGAACUCAGGUGACUGAUUUGGGGGAUGCCCUGAGGCACCCUUAGAAUCAAAGAGCUGCGUGUUUAACUUGAGGUCUUCCCAGACCAAGGCAGGGAGAGGAUUCUCCAGUGAGUGCAUGAGUGCACACACUGAGGAGCAUCAUUUCUCUACGUGAAGUGCAAGGACUUAUUUGCAUUACCAAAGGAAUUAGAGGGUAAGAAACACCCAACCUCCUCCGUAAAGUUCCUUGGAGCCCAACAACUUAACCAAUCAGCUUAGCUGAAAAUUAGAGUCAUUAUAUGAAGAUUGGGCUUGAAGAAUAGGAUACACGUAUUUUUUGCAUUUAAAAGUAUCACAUAUCAUAUUUUCAACUUGAAAGUGGGCACGAUAGCAUUGAAGAUACUCUGAUAUAGACAGAGAAAUAUCUGAGCAACAUCUAUAGAGAUCUACUUUUCCCCGAAGUGUCUUAGGCUUUCCUUGAGAAUUAGCUGAUACAUUUAAGCAGGAUAUUUAUUUCUGUUUUGCUCUAUUCAAAGAAACUUAAUGAGAUAGAUAUUCCAUAAACUAAGCUUGUAUAUAACUUUAUUUGGGUUUAAUUUCCACACUGGCAUCUGCAAAUACUGCCGGCAUUUUAGCCAUAUUUUGGGAGAACUUGGUGUUGGAGGUCCCAGGAAAUGAGGUCUGAUCAAAUGAAACGCAAGCACAAUUUCUUACAGCCAUUUAACUUUCUGUGGGGACGACACACAUAACAAACUCAUAUUGUGCAGUCCACGUAGUCCAGGCACUUUUCUUUGUGCAGGUGGAGUGAGUAGUUACUUUUCACUCUUACACAGAUGACUUGUGAAACUCAAGCUCUCCAUCUUCCAAGCUGGCAUUUGACUUCGGCAAUCCCCCAAAAACAAUGUGAGAUGCGUUCAGUGCCCUCUUUGUAGGCAAGAAUCGGACAACAUGGGGACUGAGGGAAGGAUGGGGAGGUGUAGCCACAGUUCUUCUAAGUGUAAAUACCUUUUUUUUUGUUUUAGUGGUAAAAUGCGAUGUAUAUUUGUUAGGAUGGUCAGGUCUCAUGAGAAAUCCCUGCUAUGUUACCAGGGCCUUUGAAACAAUCCAUUGGAGUGGGAGUUAGGGGGUGUAGUGGAUACCAAAUAUGUUUUUCUUCAGUGCAUAAGAUAAUUCUUUCCUGAAAUCCAAUUUUGAACAUAAACCGGGGGCAGGGGGUGGGGAGAAACUGAGGACAAGCCACUCCGAUGAAGGUCAGCAAUAGACUGUGUUGACUGCAUGGAAGAGGAACAGCAUCAGAACUUCUGACAAUGGAGAGGAGAGUGGACUUGAGCCUGCCCUGGCUGGAUGAAGAUCAGCCUGCAGGAACUACAUUGAGUUAAUUCGCAAUGCUCUCAACGGCUGCAAAGUGCCACUUUUUUCCUGUCAGAGAUCUCCAAAAGUUUAAAACAGACUCAUCAUGGCUACCUCAAGUGUUUUCUCAGUUUUGGGGACAUGCUUAGGUCCCAUGACAGCUUCGGACAUCUUUGUGUAAUUUUCCUCCUGUAACAAGUUGGAAGAGGCAAAUCUUAACAACACUUUACCACCCUUUAUUUGAGAUCGGUUUUAAUGGUUCAAAUGUUUACUCUCCUUCUGCCCACCCUCACCUUUUUUUUAUUUUUUAUUUAUUUUUUAUUUUUUACUGCAUUUUAGGUUUGGUGGUACAUGUGCAGAACAUGCAAGACAGUUACAUAGGUACACACAUGGCAGUGUUUUGCUUCAUUUCUCCCCUUGGGAAAACUGGCUAGCCAUGUGCAGAAAGUGGAAACUGGACCCCUUCCUGACACCUUACACCAAGAUUAACUCCAGAUGGAUUAAAGACUUAAACAUAAGACCUGGCACGAUAAAAACCCUAGAAGGAAAUCUAGGCAAAACUAUCCAGGACAUAGGAGUAGGCAAGGACUUCAUGAACAAAACACCAAAAGCAUUGGCAACAAAAGCCAAAAUAGACAAAUGGGACCUAAUCAAACUCCACAGCUUCUGCACGGCAAAAGAAACAGUCACUAGAGUAGAUCGGCAACCAACAGAAUGGGAAAAAAAUUUUGCAGUUUACCCAUCUGACAAAGGGCUGAUAUCCAGAAUUUACAAAGAACUCAAACAGAUAUACAGAAAAAAAACAAGCCCAUUCAAAAGUGGGCAAAGGAUAUGAACAGACACUUUACGAAAGAAGACAUAUAUGACACCCUCACCUUUUUAUUCACACCUUUCCCUUUGUUUUUUCUAUACAGGGAGAGAAGAUAUAUUCACUCUGACUUGACACCCUGAUUCCUCCAAAUAUAUAUGCCACUGUGUAUUAAUAUUUCUCUCAGUGUGUUAUAGGAGUUACCUAACAAUGCUGUGCCAAGAAUGAAAAGCUGGAUGUAAUAUAGCUGUAAUUUACCUUCCAUAUGAAUACAGUGGAUAGGUUCCUAAAAGAGAAUUGUGUGAAUCUGGGAUUGCCACAUCUAAAACAUUAUUCUUUUAUGGAAUGAUAACAAUUCAUGGACCAGCUACCGCUUAAGAAAUUCACAGGACAGUUAGAGCCUGCAUGUCUAGUUAAGAUGGAUUAUAUAAAUUUAAAAUUGGAUUAACUUGCAAUCCCAGUACUUUGGGAGGCUGAGGCGGGUGGAUCACAAGGUCAAGAGAUCGAGACCAUCCUGGUCAACAUGGUGAAACCCUGCCUCUACUAAAAAAAUACAAAAAAUUAGCUGGGCAUGGUGGUGCGUGCCUGUAAUCCCAGCUACUCAGGAGGCUGAGGCAGGAGAAUUGCCUGAACCCAGGAGGCGGAGGUUGCGGUGAGACAAGAUUGCGCCAUUGCACUCCAGCCUGGGUGACAAGAGCGAAACUCUGUCUCAAAAAAAAAAAAAAAAAAAAAAACCGCUAAAAU